rnacentral:rRNA from 1 species
UGCAGUCGAACGGAGCUGAGAGGAGCUUGCUUUUCUUAGCUUAGUGGCGAACGGGUGAGUAACGCGUGAGUAACCUGCCCUGGAGUGGGGGACAACAGUUGGAAACGACUGCUAAUACCGCAUAAGCCCACGAUCCGGCAUCGGAUUGAGGGAAAAGGAUUUAUUCGCUUCAGGAUGGACUCGCGUCCAAUUAGCUAGUUGGUGAGGUAACGGCCCACCAAGGCGACGAUUGGUAGCCGGACUGAGAGGUUGAACGGCCACAUUGGGACUGAGACACGGCCCAGACUCCUACGGGAGGCAGCAGUGGGGGAUAUUGCACAAUGGGGGAAACCCUGAUGCAGCGACGCCGCGUGGAGGAAGAAGGUUUUCGGAUUGUAAACUCCUGUCGUUAGGGACGAUAAUGACGGUACCUAACAAGAAAGCACCGGCUAACUACGUGCCAGCAGCCGCGGUAAAACGUAGGGUGCAAGCGUUGUCCGGAAUUACUGGGUGUAAAGGGAGCGCAGGCGGACCGGCAAGUUGGAAGUGAGAACUAUGGGCUCACCCAUAAAUUGCUUUCAAAACUGCUGGCCUUGAGUAGUGCAGAGGUAGGUGGA